rnacentral:rRNA from 1 species
GACGAACGCUGGCGGCGUGCUUAACACAUGCAAGUCGAACGAUGAUGCUGGAGCUUGCUCCAGUUGAUUAGUGGCGAACGGGUGAGUAACACGUGAGCAAUCUGCCCUUGACUCUGGGAUAACUGCGGGAAACUGUAGCUAAUACCGGAUACUUUCACCGGAAGGCAUCUUCUGGUGAUGAAAGAAUUUCGGUCAGGGAUGAGCUCGCGGCCUAUCAGCUUGUUGGUGAGGUAACGGAUCACCAAGGCGACGACGGGUAACCGGCCUGCGAGGGUGACCGGUCACACUGGGACUGAGACACGGACCAGACUCCUACGGGAGGCAGCAGUGGGGAAUAUUGCACAAUGGGCGCAAGCCUGAUGCAGCAACGCCGCGUGAGGGAUGAAGGCCUUCGGGUUGUAAACCUCUUUUAGCAGGGAAGAAGCGAAAGUGACGGUACCUGCAGAAAAAGCACCGGCUAACUACGUGCCAGCCGCCGCGGUAA